GUGGUUGCAGUCUAAGUUGUUGAUUUAUAUUGAUUCUAUCAGCGUCAAUCAACGGGGGCAAAUACUAAAAAGUCAGGAUUGUGAUUCCUGUUGUCGUGGGUUCGAGUCCCAUCAGCCACCCCA
rnacentral:tRNA from 1 species